GAUGAACGCUGGCGGCGUGCCUAAUACAUGCAAGUCGAGCGAAUGGAUUAAGAGCUUGCUCUUAUGAAGUUAGCGGCGGACGGGUGAGUAACACGUGGGUAACCUGCCCAUAAGACUGGGAUAACUCCGGGAAACCGGGGCUAAUACCGGAUAACAUUUUGAACCGCAUGGUUCGAAAUUGAAAGGCGGCUUCGGCUGACACUUAUGGAUGGACCCGCGUCGCAUUAGCUAGUUGGUGAGGUAACGGCUCACUAAGGCAACGAUGCGUAGCCGACCCGAGAGGGUGAUCGGGCACCCUGGGACUGAGACACGGCCCAGACUCCUACAGGAGGCAGCAGUAGGGACACUUCCACGAUGGACGAAAGUCUGACGGAGCAACGCCGCGUGAGUGAUGAAGGCUUUCGGGUCGUAAAACUCUGUUGUUAGGGAAGAACAAGUGCUAGUUGAAUAAGCUGGAACCUUGACGGUACCUAACCAGAAAGCCACGGCUAACUACGUGCCAGCCGCCGCAGUAA
rnacentral:rRNA from 1 species